UAUGAGGUGAAGAGAAGAGCUGUUCUUUU
rnacentral:piRNA from 1 species